GUUGUUAUUAUUCAGCAUUGUUCUUGCUAAUCUGUUUUUUUUGUUUGUUUUGUUUGUUUGUUUGUUUGUUUGGGGGUUUUCUUUGUAUUUCUAUGUGAGAUUUGAGGGUUUUUUUUCAAUUUUUGUGAUUUAUAUUGGAAGUUUGAUGGGGACUGCAUUGAAUCUAAUGACUGCUUUUUUUUGGAUGCAGGUUUCAUAAUAUUUAUCUUAUAGAAUAUAAGCAUAGGACGUCUUUCUGUCUUUUAGUAUCUUCUUCGAUUUAUUUAUUUUCAGUUUCUUAACAUUUUAUUGUAGAAAUAUUUCACUUGGUUGGAUUUUUUCCAAGAUAUUCACUUCCCCAUUUUUGAAGUUACUGUAAAUGAAAUUUCCCCCCUCAUUUCUUUCCCAUUAUGUUUAUAAUUUGUGUUUAGAAAAGGCUCUGACUUCUGUGUGUGUUGUCACAGUGUUUUAUCACAGCAAUUAAGACAUUAGGACAACUGGUCAUUGUAUACAUUUUCUAUAUGUGACCUUAAAAACUAGUUCUGAAGCUGAAUGUCGUAUUUUAUACAUAAGCAUUUGUUCAGGUCAAGUCUGAAUGCACACACACUGUCAUUCCUCUGACUAUUCUGGUAUACUGAAGAUGAGACAGGACAAGUAUGAACUGUCUCUUGUUUAUCCCCAUCAGUCCUUUCUGGCAACUCUGUAUGAUUCUGUUUGGUAGCCUUUUAAAAUGAGGGAUUGGGCACUUUUUCUGCUGUUCUUCAUCAGCAUAGUUUAUCAGUUCUAGGCUUGAAAUUGUCUUAAGGCUGUAGAUUAAUUGAAUACCAAAUUACUCCUGGUCAUGAACAGAGUCAACACUCUUAUAAAUAACGUCUUGUUGGUUUGUGGAAGUGGAAGUGCGUGUAGGAUGCUCAGUGUUCAUCCUAGUGAGGGUUUCUACUACUGGAAGGGAACACUAUGCCUCAAGUAUGUUAGGGAAGAAAGGGUUAUUAAGGUUAUACUUGUAUAUGUUCAUUGGCAAAGGGGGUCAUGGCAGAAACUCACGUUUAGCAGGAACAGUGAGGCAGGAACUGAUGAUAUAGAGGCAAUGGAGGGGUGUUGCUUAUGGGAUUGCUCCCUAUGGCUUGCUCAGCCUGUUUCUUAUAGAAACCAGGACCACAGCUUAGGGAUGGUAACACCCACAAUGGGCUGGACUCUGCCCUAUUAAUCAAUAAUAAAAAAUGUCCCUUUGACUUGACUCCAAAUGGUUUUAUAGAGACAUUUUCUUAAUUGAGAUUCCCUCCAUUCUACUGAAUUUAGUUUUUUGUCAAGUUGACAUAAAAUGAGCCAAGAAAGCAUUCUUUCAGGAUAUGCUCCUAACUGUCCCUAGUUUUAUUAGAAAAGUAACUACACUUGACUUGUAAUAUUGUCAGAGAUUCAACUAAUCAUAUAUUAACAAUAUAUUAAACUAUAUAUCAAAUAAUGUUUCUGUUCUGAAUAUCGCCACUCCAAGUAUUACACAAUAUAAACUACGUAGCUACAUGAAUUACAUCUAAUAAGGAAUCUGGGAUGAUUAAAAGUAUGUUGCAUGGAGGUAUUUAAAGCGUUAAGGGUGUGUGCGGAUUACAUGCCAUCUUGAAGACAGCAUAAGCAUCUCUAUGGUUUGGAUUCUGCAGAGUGGGGUGACAGGGUCUUCCUUCAAAAACCACAGAGAACCCUGGCUUUGCCAAGAGUGCAGGCUUUGGAUUAGAGUUAACUGAAAGAAUGUUUUUAAAGAUCUGGUCUGAAGGCCAAGAGCAGCGAUGGUCAGAAGGAUGUGGGGGUCUUGAAGAGGAAGUUACUGUCUAGGAUUCUUAGUCACUGGACUGGUUCUGCUCUUUGUAGAUCUUUUCAGGCUUAUCACUAUAUUCCGGAAGCCUCCUGCCUCAGCUCUCAUGGAUUCAGUACUUUAGCAUUCUUCAUUAUGGAUUUAAGGUAAGCUGUCCUCUCUGUCACUCUACUUGGGGUCUCCAAUUAUAGUAACCAAAAUGAGUCCCACCCGGUCCUUCCAUCAGCAAUAAUCUCUAACCAGUUCCUGCCUAGGAAUGUCCUUCCAGGAGCAAAAGAGGAACAAUUUCCUGUUAGUUUAACUUGGCCUCAGGUCAGUAAGUCACCUGUGCCUUUCCCAUGUCACGUGUUAUUUGAGAACUGAAGGGGGAGAGAAAGUUCAGAGCAAAGAGGAAAGAUAGACAAUACAAUUUUUAAAAAGGAACCACAGUAUUUCUGUCCAGUGAAGAAUUGAUGACCGGGUCAGAGAGUACGAUGUAUAGUUCAUAUCAGGAAAUUACCGGAAACAGAAACCAUGUAAUACUCACAGCUAUAUUGGCUCUCACGCUUUCUCUGCAGUGGAGUGCAUCUUAAUGUUCUUUUACUCCCAUAAUUACAGCUGGUUUUGAUGAAAACAAGCAAGAACAUAUUCCUCCUAUAACCCAAUAGUAUUGUUUUAAUCAUAGCUCUUAUGGUUGCAAAAUUAGAGGGCAAAGAAGGAGGAUGCGUGGGGUAAUUUAGUUAGAGAUUUCACAUUUUAGUCAACGGGAAACAUCAUUAUUUCAAUCAUAAGCCUUUGGAUUCUGGAGCAGUCCAGAUGGGGACACUGGUGGACUGAGCGGACUGUGAACGUGGUUGAGGUUUUUGUUUUUUAAUGUUUUACAAAUAGUGGUAAAGAUUGUACUUGAAGAUAUAGCUGUGUUUAUUCUUUGGAAACAUAUGAAAAUGAAAUAUAAGUCUGUUUUCCUUUCCCUGCUCCUGCUUUUGUUACAGGCUUUGCUGCACAAUGAGUUCCUUGGACAAAACUUCUGUCCAGAAGACAGGAUGGAAGAACUCAGUAGAUGCCAUAACUAUGUAAUAUGUGCUGGUGAAGAAUUCUUGACGAUCCAGGGCAUCGAUCUCUCAUCGUGGGGCUUCUGGGAGAAUCACCUGGCUUUAGCUUGUAUAAUGAUUAUCCUCUUAACAAUUACCUAUGUGCAGUUAUUACAGGUUAAGACAUUAGAAGUUCUUAGAUCGCGGGGGAGGAAUUUUCUUCAGUUGUUUAACUAAAUACCAAAGUAUCUUCUGUAUGUCUGUAAUUGUAUUCCUGGACAAAUGCUACAUCCAGCCUGACCCAGAGAGGAUCCCUCUGCUGUGAACACUGAUGAAUGUAGAGACUCAUGGCUGCUCACAGUACAGGGCUAAGGGACACUCCAGUGCUUAUCUCCAACAGGACACCUAUUGCGUGCCGUCUAUAGCUCAGAGCAUUGUAGAGUAGAAAGAGUGCAAGAGCCAGAAUAUGAGAAGGAGUGGAAAUGCAAUAUUGUGGUCCUGCACAGCCAAGGCAACCAUGGUCUGUGUCUCAACUCUACGGCUACCUACAGAAGACUGGAUCCCUCAUCAGCACAGAAGGAGCAGAGGAGAACUCAAUGGGUCCAUCCCCCAUUCUGCUCAACUAUUGGCUACUGGCAGAUCAUGGGGGAGAGGCAGUCAUUGAUUUCACAUGUAUGUUCACAUUUGAGCCUAGAGACUCCAGUGGAAAGUCCGGAACACUCUGAUCCCACACACAGCCCUGUUUAAACUCUGUGGGUCAUAAGACAAAGAUGUGGAUGUGAGAAAGAGACUUGUAAAGAAGAGUAUUUGAAGGGAGUGUAAGGAAAAUGAGAGAGGUGGGACGGAGGGGGAAAUGGCUGAAAUGCAUUAUAUAUGGAAUUGUAUAUUUUUAAAAAUAAAAUUAUAGAAAAGCAA